CAUUACAGAAAUCCCAAUUAAGCAAGAGCUCAGCACGACUGGGCGAGCAGACCAAUGAGUAGUCAUACUCGUUGAUCAAUAAUCCUCACAGCCUGACCAACUGUGGGGAAUGAGCGUGUUUGCGUGACACGGCACGCAUUCACGGUGAAGAGAGAAAAAGCGAAAAAAAGAGCUACCCUAAAGCUCAUGAAAAUGGUUUGAUCGCGUAUCCCGGCGCUUUCUUCCAUAUAUAUAAAGCAUUGCACAAAUAAUGAGUUUUGAGCUGGGGCUCAUUAGUGCACAUUACGAUUGCAUGGUUGUGGCAACCGGUGAUCGUUAACUGCAGCUUUGUCUGCCUACGGUGGAGCGAUCCAGUUCUGCCUUUCGCCUGUGCCUGGUACAUUCGUGUACCUACGCACAGUUCUGGUUGUGACAGGGUGCCUACCCGUCUGAUGCUCUUUGUUAUGCUUGCCGUCUGUAGAUGGUCAGUCCAUAUCAGGAGUGACGGGAUGUGCUGUCAAAAUUGGCAGUGCUAGGCUUAAUGAGUGGUUCGACAUAACGAGCUACGGCUCAGCCACCGCCCUGUUUGCUGUUUGUUGCAACAAAAUCCCAUAUUACACUGUUCAAGUGGUUCAGAUCGGACAUUGCUCACCCAACCGGUUUGAAUCAUUGCCCGACAUGCACCUGGUCUCGUACUGGAAUGCAUGUGCAGUCGCCUGGCGCUGCCUUAUCCUGGGCUAGACUGAGUAACCAAGCGUCGCUCAUCCGAAUCCCUGGAUGUUCGAUGUGAGUACAACUCUGUGCGGUGGAUCACUCGGCUCGUGUGUCGAUGAAGAGCGCAGCCAACUGUGUGAAUUAAUGUGAACUGCAUACUGCUUUGAACAUCGACAUCUUGAACGCAUAUUGCGGCCAUGGGUUAGCCUGUGGCCACGCCUGUCCGAGGGUCGGCUUAUAAACUAUCGCGACGCCCAAAAAGUCGCGGCUUGGGUCUUGCCAGCUGGCGUGAUAUCCCCUAUUUGGUCUUGUGCCUUUGUGGGGUGCCAGAACUAUGGCGUUUCCCUAAUGUACCCGGACGCACCAUGUUACGGCUAAAAGCCUUGACGAGAUGUGUCGAUAGAGUCGUGGCUCAGUUAUAUAUUUUAUGUGCGCGCUCUACCGUCAUGUUUUGUCUAUGGUUGGCUUGCUGUGGGUGGUUGUGUACCGAUGCUGACUAAUGUAUGUGCCAUAUGGCUCAUCAUUU
rnacentral:misc_RNA from 1 species